rnacentral:rRNA from 1 species
UUUGCCCACACAUGGGAUCAAUAGGGUACCAUAACGAGGAGGAUCGUAGCGGAAUACGAAAGAUUAUUGAUCGAAUAUAUUAAUAUAAUAGAUUACCCUUUGAACUUAAGCAUAUCAUUAAAAGGAGGAGAAGAAACUAACUAGGAUUUCUUUAGUAGCAGCGAGUGAACAAGAAACAACCCUUGAUUGUAAUCCUUAUGGAGCUGUAAAUCAUAUAUUUUAUUUCUUAUUUCGUAGAGGAUGUAUAUCCGUUAUAAAUGAGAUAUAUAAAAGUAAUUGAGUAGGGCUGCUUGGUAGUGCAGUUUGAAUAUAGGUAGAAUGAGAUAUCUAAGGUUAAAUAUAAUGGUACACCGAUAGCAAAUAAGUACUGCGAAGGAACUUGUGAAAAUGUGUGGGUUAUAGCCUUAUUUUUAAGGACCCGUCUUGAAACACGGACCAAGGAGAUUAUAAUUAUAGCGAGAUAACAAUGUAGUCGUUAUUAGCUUGAUAAGUUAUAAUUAUAAGACCCGAAACACAGUGAACUAUACAUGUUCUGGUUGAAGAUAAGCAACAGUUUAUUGGAAGACCAUAAUCAUUCUGACGUGCAAAUCGAUGAUUUAAGAUGUGUAUAGUGGCGAAAGACCAAUCGAACUGUGUGGUAGCUGGUUCACAGCGAAAUGUCU